rnacentral:ncRNA from 1 species
CUCUGGUUUGAGAGAUUAAUCAGGGCGUAAAGGAG